UUACCUUUCUGAAUGCAAGUUCAGCAACCCAGGCAGCUUUUAUUUACCUACCUACUAGAAUGUAAAGCCCAUUUUAUGCUUAUUUGCUGUCCAGACUAUUUCUAUUUCUAUUAUUUCUAUCUAUCUCUGUCUCUGUCUCUCUCUAUCUCAUUUGAAAUGCCUUUCGUCCUACUAAUUACUGCCCAGAGUGAUGCCACAGAGCAGCACUGCGGUGUAACUUUGCAGUGCUUCCUGCUCACACUCACACACGCAUGCACACAGAGACACAAGCGCGUUGGGAAAGCAGGAAUGCAGGCGAGUUUUGACCUCCGGUGUCCGCACAAUGAGCCGCGGACGAUGCAGAAGGUUGGCUGCUUCUAUACAGACCUGCUUUUGUGCUCUUGUCCAGGGCUUGAUCCUUGGAGCCCUGCGUGCUCAGUAGACGCCAGAGAGAUAGAUGUGAUCUGUUAGCCUCAUCCAGCGCCGGCAGCUGAGCCAUUUUCACACAGGCAGGCAGGUAUGGCAAAGCCUGGGUAACAGAUGAGAACCCAUGGGGAGCUCUUGACUAUGGAGAAUGAAAAAUCAAAAGAAACCAUAUUGGACACAGAUACAAAAGGAGUCCCCUGUUCCUUUUCUAUCCCCCCUUGUUUCUUUUCUCCUCUUCCUUACCAGGCUGUAAUGAAUGUGGAAAACUGCUUCCCCCCUCAAAGUAUGUGAGGACAUAUAGAUUCCAGAUGCUAUUCUAUGCAAAUACUUCCACCCUUCCCUGCUCAGCAGCACUGCCAGUUAACCCUUCUGCCUAUCUGUUUGCUGCCUUUUGCUCUCCACACUGCUGUGAGAAAGGAAAAAAAGGGGAAAAAAAAAGAAAAAAGAAAAAAGAAAGAAAAACCACCUUAAAAAUACCUUAACGUUUAUUUUCAGAGUACAGCUUACAGCUUAACACCGUAUAUAUUGCAUUUGGGCUCAGCACAGCUGAAGGCACAAAGCCACAGUUAACACAUUUCUGGCAUUGAAGUUAAUUUGAUGUUUUAAUCACAUAACAUCAUGGAAAAAAAAAAAAAAA